rfam:Myotis davidii contig59546, whole genome shotgun sequence.
UGUGGUUCUUGGGUGACGCACCCAGAACCAGAGAGGAGGGAGCCUGAUUCUGGGGUGCGUCACCUAAGAACCACC